GUGUCUUAUAAUUGGACCGCAUGUGAUAGAAAUUAAUUUGUAAACAAUUGCCGACAAAGAAAAAAAUACCAGCUCGGGGAGGGAAAUAGCUUGAGUGGGUUUUGAAAUUUAGCAGUUGCACGAAACAGAACAAAGCGAAACACGCAAGAAAAUUCCACGGUACGGAAAAAGGAAAUUGUAAUUCUAAUACUGAAAACUGGUGUCCACUCAUACUAUUUUGCGUGUCUUUUUUUAGUGUUUAUUUACUUUUUCAUAUCUCAGGUGAACUUUUGUGCGUCUUUCUUUACUCGAGGACAUUGGAUGUCAGUCAGAUAAUUGGCCGUCAAUGUCGGCAUUUGUCGGUUUUUGUCGGUUGGCUCCGCGACCAUACGAAAACGUUAACAGUGACUUUUGAACUCAAACCACCAACCGCUCUCACGAAACUACAACCAAGAAGUGACCUGAACUAAAAAAGAAAACGUUGACGUGGACCUGAACUAAAAAAGAAAACGUUGCAAGGUUAAGCAGGCAACGCGCGGAAAAUCGGGAAUCUAAUUUGCACAACGAAGUUCUAACCAUAAAAGAGUAAUUGAAUUUUGUAGAAAUAAAAUUAAUGGAAUAAAGUAAACAAAAAUCACGGAAUUAUAAAAUUAUUUGGGGUUCCAGUUACAGCAAAUAUCAAGGGUCACGUAUGAGUACAAAACAGACAACAGCACGGAGGCUUACUUGAAGUUUCUCCCUUUUACAAAGCCGCUGACCACAAAAAAAUGGGAACCCAUUUAAUUUCCAUUUUUGGUCUUUUAAAGAGAGUGAAACUUAAAAACUUCCAUUGUUCUUCGAAUAAGAUACCUCGCUAUUUUUGUUAGGAGAUGGAAGUUUUCUUCCGCUCUAAGGAUAUUUACUGGUGUUGUAUUCAGGAGGUGAAGAUUUUCACUUGACCUUGGCCCACGUUCGAGACGUGACGUGACAAAGUGUUCUAAAAUUAGUCCGUUUAGCGGCUAAAUACAUUGCUAUCGGCAGGAUGUCAUGUCGCACAUGAAUAUCAAAUCUUUUGAUUACUUAAAAAAAAAACUUAACCACGGCUUUUUUGAAGGCACGGUUCACGCGUCAAUCACGGUGUUUAUUCUUGCCGCCUCAGUCGCAAAAAGUUCAACAACUCUUUGGCUAGGGCGCUAUAUCAAACAACAUUAUGGACGAAGACAGAUAAAACACAAGUGUUUCAAAAAGAAAGUUAUCUGUUGAAAUCUUGGCUGUUCAUCUAAAGCGGUAAAUCGCGUGUACACGAGACUCAAAUUGACAGAAUCCGGGAGGUCUUUGGAUCUGGUUAAAAAGGCGCCUAAAGCAAAAUUUAAUUGGUGCUGCUGGAUUCGUGUUUUUUUUUUUCCCUUUUUUAAACAAUCAGGCUCUGCGCUCCGCUUUCUUUAAUUAAGCGCCAGGCCUUAGGACACUGUUCUUUAUGGUGGGUGGGGAUAUGAAUCUUAUUCAGUUAGUGAGGGGAGGGGAGGGGUGGACACCUCACCCAUCGCCUAUCCUCUCCCGUGAGGGGAGGGGAGGGGAGGGGUGGACACCUCACCCAUCGCCUAUCCUCUCCUGUCCACGGAGAUGGCCCAAGCUCCUACAUUGAGCUGGAGAGCCGAGGGAAAUGAACUCGAGAAACAAUCAAAAGUAGUACAGAUGCGUGCACAACAGAUUACAAACGCUUCCUAAUCGUAAAAAAUGGUUGAAGCUGACUCAAAGGCAUCUCGACUGUGUUAUUCGCUUCUGCACUAAAAGUGCCGCACCCUUUGCGUGAUAAAAACACGCACAGUUCCAGCAAAUCCCAUCACGGGAUCUUCCCGUCGCGGAUUCAAAAAAUGCUAAUUGGAGAAAUUUUCUCGCUAUUCACUUUCUGGCCCACUUACUCAGAGCAAUAGUCGAUAACACCCAAUAUCUAGAAAAUCCAUUAUAUAAGGACCGAUCUCUUUCUAAAAUGUGCAUGAACAUUUUUAUUACUCUUCGAAAGAUCAUCUAAGUUAAUUUCAAUACAUUUUACUUAUGAUGCUCACAGGUCGUCAGACGAUUUGCGUGCGUUUGCCACGAUAAUGAUAUAGAUCCCUCACAGCAGUCCCACGACAGAAACAGCCUUGUUAUAUAUCAUUAAUGGCGCGAUGAAUAAGCAUAUGGCAACUCACAGCAGGGAACGACGUCCGAUUCACGAACAUUUACGCACGUCUGUCGAAUUGUAAACAAACUAAAUAAUUUGACAGGAAAUUCUGAAUAGAUUUAAAUGAUACUUAGCCAAGCAGGGUCCUUUUAAGCUAUGUUUAACAAAUAUUCAGUAAUUACCGAGAUAAACAGUACUCAGGGUCACAACCCUCACGACGCACUUUUCUUCGACAUUUACGCACAAGUACACUUCCCCACACUUUCCUUCAGCAUUUUACGCACAUACAAGUAUCCUUCCCCCCCACUUUCAUUCGGCAUUUACGCACAUACAAGUAUACUUCCCCCACUUUCAUAUACAAGUAUUCAUAUACAAGUAUUCACAUACAAGUAUACUUUCCCCCACUUUCAUUUGACAUUUACGCACAAGUAUACUUUCCCCUACUUUCCUUCGGCAUUUAUGCACAUACAAGUAUACUUUUCCCUACUUUCAUUCGACAUUUACGCACAAGUAUAAUUUCCCCCACUUUCCUUCGAUUUACGCACAUACAAGUAUACUUUUCCCUACUUUCAUUCGACAUUUACGCACAAGUAUACUUUCCCCCACUUUCCUUCGAUUUACGCACAUACAAGUAUACUUUCCCCUAUUGAAACUGAAACUGAAAAAACUGAAACUUUCCUUUGGCAUUUACGCACAUACAAGUAUACUUUCCCCCACUUUUCUUCGGCAUUAGCACACAAUUACACCCCCACACACACACACUUUCCAUCGGUAAUUUUGCGUACUAUUACACUUCCUCCACUUUCCUUCGGCAUUUUCGCACAAUUACGCUCCCCCUCCCCCCCCCCCCCCCCCACCCCAGAUUCCCUUUGGCAUUUGCGCACAACAUUCGGCAUUUACGUACAUACAAGUAUACUUGCCCCCACUUUCCAUCGGCAUUUUCGCACAAUUACGCUCCCCCCUACCCCUCCCCCCCCAGAUUCCCUUUGGCAUUUGCGCACAACAAUACUUUCCCCUCUUUUCUUUGCGCUUAAGUAUACACUUUCCCCCACAAUUCCCCAGUCACAAGCUUGUCGACUAUCUCUAGAAAGGAUUAUUUGGAGUCAAUUGAUCUUAUAGGAAUCUAGGAUUGUAGGGGUAUCUAAAAGUAUAGAAAAGAAAAAUUAUCUUCUCUUCCGGGUACCCUGUUGAUGGUUCAGUACUGGGACUAGCAACAAACCAUGACUACGAAAAUGGCUUCCAACACAUUGUGAUAUUGCUUCUGAUAAACACGAAGUCGCACAGUUUUGCACCUCUGAUUUUCUUUAUCAUGUAAUCCAAAAAGAUCAACUUGAUCUUCGUGAUGUGUAUAGGUGAUAGAAUGCACGAGGAAGAAUCGAUUGCUCGCCUGAACUUUGCAUUUUUUUAACAUCACAUGGAAGCCAUUGCGUUUCUUGUCGUCACAACGUUGAAAAGUAUUCAAAUCUUUGAGCUAGUGAAGCAGUAUAUGUGCAAAAAUGUCAGUUGAAAUGUCGAACGAAACUGAGGGGAUACAGGACAGAACAGGGAUUCUUGAAAGGUGGUCAAGGGUUUUUGAUAACAGCUUUGCCUCAUCAAUAGCAAAGACACUGCCCAAGACUUCUAAGCAGCCGACAUCUGACACACUCGAGCUGGAAGAUGUGUUUGAGGAAGUUGUUGAUGAAGUCCCUAUCGCUAGAGGAGGCUGUAGACACCCCACUGAAUCAGCCCCUCAUCAGCCCAAUAGAAGAUGGGCUCAUCAGGCAAGAAAAAAAAGUUUGGAGCAAGUAAGCCCUAAGAUCCCUGGGAGGUCACAGCUAACAGGUGGUAAGCCUGCCAAGGCAAUGCAGGAACAGACGCCCAAGAUAAUGCCAUCGAGAAUGAAGACAAGGAUGGAAAAAGAUACUGAGAUUACAACUAGAGCACCUUCAGUCACAAGUGGCCGUCCUCCUUCUGGCCGGGUGAGAGCAAGAGUCAGCACACCUCCCAAAUCUGCUAAACAGGCUAAACCUGCUUCACCAGUCAAACCUGUUAUUCCAGGAGGGACACUAAUAAAUUUAGAGACUGCUCAGAGUCUUCGCACAGUCCUGUUUGGCACAUGUGGAACAUCAUUCAACUCUGACUGGCGCAAGCAGCACAUCAAUUUCUCAAUGAAUUCACACUAUGGGCUCAGCUUCUACAAGCCUGGGCCUGCUGGUGUCCUGGCUUGUUUACAAGCAUUUCUCAUAAAGAAUCUGUUGUACUUUAAUGCUACACCAGCUAUUGCAAAGAGCAUGCUGCAGCCUAUGUCAUCUGACCGUCAACGAGCACUAGUGGCAGCCCUGUCACAGAUGAUGUGGCAAGCAGGGGAAAGGAAACAUGCUGUAGUGACACUGCCAUGUGGUGAAUUUCAGUGGCUUUCCUAUGAAGGCUACAAAUUGGAUCAUCUCACAGAAAACCUCAUGCUAUUUACAUUCAGUGACUUUGAUGAGCUUCAAAGAUUUAUCAAAAGACAAGUAACAUUUUUUGAAAGUACCAGUGGGGAUGGCUGCAUACUCCUUCUCUACUCAAUCAUUUUAUCUAGAACAACAAAGAGAGUGACUGAAGAUCUUUCCGAGCCAAACUCCAUUCUAUUGGACUCAAAUAACGGAUGCUCACAGGCGAUGAUGAACCUUCUACUGACAGGAAGGGCAACCAAGAAUGUUUUCAAUGGUGAUGUAGAGUACAACAAGCGAGGGACGAUACUGGCAUAUCCUCAAAAAGGGAUUAAAGAGAGAAGUGAGAUAGGCUUUCUGACGCUGUGGGAACAUAUUGACUCAAAGGAUGUCGAGGUGGGCAGCAAGCUGAAAACUCCAAAGUUCCCUGUAUGGGUCGUAGACAGUACAGGAGGACGCUAUGGAGUCGUGUUUUGUCUCAAUAAGGAUUUGGUUAAUGACUGGCUCGGUCCCAGGACGUUGUAUAGUCAAACUUGCACCAGGGAAAGGGCAGGGUUGCUGGCACACACAAAAAGCCACAAGUCGGGAAACUGGACCAACUACUAGAACCAUAUGUCAAAUGGGUCAUUGGAAAGACGUGUUUGUAACUCUUGGCGUUUUACAGGCGGCUGGAGCGACGGUUUGAAUUGUAUUACUACAACGGUACCACUCGGCAUAGCGGUGCAGUCGGUGACGUCAUCACAGUAGAUACUCGAGAUAUAGUUGAUGAGAAUGAGGUCACUGAAGACACACAUCCUGUUGAACAUUGCCUUCG